UUAAUGCGGUAGUUUAUCACAGUU
rnacentral:misc_RNA from 1 species